ACGGUAGCAGGUAAGUACUUGUACUUAUGCUGACGAGUGGCGGACGGGUGAGUAAUGCUUGGGAGUCUGUCUUAUGGAGGGGGAUAACGACGGGAAACUGUCGCUAAUACCGCGUAGAAUCGGGAGAUGAAAGUGUGGGACCUUCGGGCCACAUGCCAUAGGAUGAGCCCAAGUGUGAUUAGGUAUGUUGGUGGGGUAAAGGCCUACCAAGCCGACGAUCGCUAGCUGGUCUGAGAGGAUGGCCAGCCACACCGGGACUGAGACACGGCCCGGACUCCUACGGGAGGCAGCAGUGGGGAAUAUUGCGCAAUGGGGGCAACCCUGACGCAGCCAUGCCGCGUGAAUGAAGAAGGCCUUCGGGUUGUAAAGUUCUUUCGGUGAUGAGGAAGGUUGGUGUGUUAAUAGCAUGCCAAAUUGACGUUAAAUACAGAAGAAGCAC
rnacentral:rRNA from 1 species